CAGCAUUUCCUUAUCUUCCUCUAGACUUAUCCCCAUCGUUUCUAGCUUCUAGUUUAUCCGUUGUCGGCAUUAUCUUUUCAAGAGCUGGACGCACGUCUCCAUGUUGCCUGUCGGCCUUAUCUCCAUCCCUCAUCACCUCUGCGAGCACAAGUUUUAGCGCCUGCCCUCAGUCCAGCUCGCCAGCAGCUCUCUGCCCUCCUCCCUCAAGCCCUAGCUGAGUUUUUCCAUGGUGCUCUGGAUGCCAGCCCCUUUACUCGAUGCCCCUGCUAGGUUCCAUGGUCGUCGCUGCCCCAGCCAUCUCCUUGGUGACCGACCUCGCCCCUGCCCCAGCCACAGCUUCCCCUUCGGCCCUAUUGCUGCAAGCACUCAGCCUCUCCUAUGGCACAUGGUGCUCAUCCAGCCCCUUUCUACUGGUGUUUGCACCAUCUCUCUGGUGCUCGACGAAAUGACCAUGAGGAGUUUUGUGUUGUGUGUAGCCCCACCUGCGACACCGUCGACCCCCGGUGAGGUUCUGUUCUCGCCCUGUCGCUUUAGCGCUCGACGUCGAUUACUAAUGUGUGAAUUGUGUGUGUUGACGAGGGAGUUAACCGGUAAAGAAGUGAGGUCCGUGCGACGUUUGCCAAGUGUUCGAUGGAAGGUCCGAACCGGGAACCUCGCCUUUCUCGCGGAUCUUCGGGUCGGUUUGUGAAUUGGUACGCUAGAUGAUUAUGCGAGCUGAAGGACAUGGAUCAGAGCGAACCAUAAGAUGGUAUUGGUGGAUUAAUCUUGUGGAUGCAUCAAGC